UACGUAGGGUGCGAGCGUUGUCCGGAUUUAUUGGGCGUAAAGAGCUCGUAGGCGGUUUGUCGCGUCGGCCGUGAAAUCUCCACGCUUAACGUGGAGCGUGCGGUCGAUACGGGCAGACUUGAGUUCGGUAGGGGAGACUGGAAUUCCUGGUGUAGCGGUGAAAUGCGCAGAUAUCAGGAGGAACACCGGUGGCGAAGGCGGGUCUCUGGGCCGAUACUGACGCUGAGGAGCGAAAGCGUGGGGAGCAAACGGG
rnacentral:rRNA from 1 species